UAAUACGGAGGGUGCAAGCGUUAUCCGGAUUCACUGGGUUUAAAGGGUGCGUAGGUGGAUUGCCAAGUCCGUGGUGAAAUCUCUGAGCUUAACUCAGAAACUGCCGUGGAUACUGGUAGUCUUGAAUGCCGUGGAGGUCAGCGGAAUAUGUCAUGUAGCGGUGAAAUGCUUAGAGAUGACAUAGAACACCGAUUGCGAAGGCAGCUGGCUACACGAAUAUUGACACUGAGGCACGAAAGCGUGGGGAUCAAACAGGAUUAGAUACCCUGGUAGUCCACGCCCUAAACGAUGAUUACUCGACAUACGCGAUACACUGUGUGUGUCUGAGCGAAAGCAUUAAGUAAUCCACCUGGGAAGUACGAUCGCAAGAUUG
rnacentral:rRNA from 1 species